GAUGAACGCUGGCUACAGGCUUAACACAUGCAAGUCGAGGGGAAACGACGGGGAAGCUUGCUUCCCCGGGCGUCGACCGGCGCACGGGUGAGUAACGCGUAUCCAACCUGCCUCUGACUGAGGGAUAACCCGUCGAAAGUCGGCCUAAUACCUCAUGGCAUCGUCUGCGGGCAUCCAACGACGAUUAAAGAUUUCAUCGGUCAGGGAUGGGGCUGCGUCUGAUUAGCUUGUUGGCGGGGUAACGGCCCACCAAGGCUACGUUCGGGAGGGGUUCUGAGAGGAAGGUCCCCCACAUUUGAACUGAGACACGGACCACAAUGCGACGGGAGGCAGGAGUGAGGAAUAUUGGGCGAGGGGCGGGAGCCUGAACCAGCCAAGUAGCGUGCAGGAUGACGGCCCUAGGGGUUGUAAACUGCUUGGAGGGGGGGAUAAAGUGAGGGACGUGUCCUUUAUUGCAGGUACCGAAUGAAUAAGGACCGGCUAAUUCCGUG
rnacentral:rRNA from 1 species